AUUGAACGCUGGCGGCAUGCCUUACACAUGCAAGUCGAACGGUAGAAGGAGCAAUCCUUCGAGAGUGGCGAACGGGUGAGUAAUACAUCGGAACGUACCUGGUAGUGGGGGAUAGCCCGGCGAAAGCCGGAUUAAUACCGCAUAAGACCUGAGGGUGAAAGCGGGGGACCGUAAGGCCUCGCGCUACCGGAGCGGCCGAUGUCAGAUUAGCUAGUUGGUGGGGUAAAAGCCUACCAAGGCGACGAUCUGUAGCUGGUCUGAGAGGACGACCAGCCACACUGGGACUGAGACACGGCCCAGACUCCUACGGGAGGCAGCAGUGGGGAAUUUUGGACAAUGGGCGCAAGCCUGAUCCAGCCAUGCCGCGUGCGGGAAGAAGGCCUCGGUUGUAA
rnacentral:rRNA from 1 species